CAGCAGCCGCGGGAAUACCGAGGGUGCAAGCGUUAAUCGGAAUUACUGGGCGUAAAGCGCGCGUAGGUGGUUUGUUAAGUUGGAUGUGAAAGCCCCGGGCUCAACCUGGGAACUGCAUCCAAAACUGGCAAGCUAGAGUACGGUAGAGGGUGGUGGAAUUUCCUGUGUAGCGGUGAAAUGCGUAGAUAUAGGAAGGAACACCAGUGGCGAAGGCGACCACCUGGACUGAUACUGACACUGAGGUGCGAAAGCGUGGGGAGCAAACAGGAUUAGAUACCCGCGUAGUCCCUGUCUCUUAUAA
rnacentral:rRNA from 1 species